rnacentral:rRNA from 1 species
UGGGGAAUAUUGCACAAUGGGCGAAAGCCUGAUGCAGCAACGCCGCGUGCGGGAAGAAGGCCCUAGGGUUGUAAACCGCUUUCAGCAGGGAAGAAAAUGACGGUACCUGCAGAAGAAGGUGCGGCCAACUACGUGCCAGCAGCCGCGGUGACACGUAGGCACCAAGCGUUGUCCGGAUUUAUUGGGCGUAAAGAGCUCGUAGGCGGUUCAGUAAGUCGGGUGUGAAAACUCUGGGCUCAACCCAGAGACGCCACCCGAUACUGCUGUGACUUGAGUACGGUAGGGGAGUGGGGAAUUCCUGGUGGAGCGGUGAAAUGCGUAGAUAUCUGGAGGAACACCGGUGGCGAAGGCGACAUCCUGGACCAAUUCUUACGCUGAGGAGCGAAAGCCAGGGGAGCAAACGGGAUUAGAUACCCGAGUAGUCCCUGAGCGGGCUGGCAAGGCGCAU